rnacentral:rRNA from 1 species
UACGUAGGGGGCUAGCGUUGUCCGGAAUCAUUGGGCGUAAAGAGCGUGUAGGCGGUCCGGUAAGUCCGCUGUGAAAGUCGGGGGCUCAACCCUCGAAUGCCGGUGGAUACUGUCGGGCUCGAGUGCGGAAGAGGCGAGUGGAAUUCCUGGUGUAGCGGUGAAAUGCGCAGAUAUCAGGAGGAACACCGAUGGCGAAGGCAGGUCUCUGGGCCAUAACUGACGCUGAGAAGCGAAAGCAUGGGGAGCGAACAGG